UACAGAGACCUCAAACGUUGUCCGGAUUUAUUGGGCGUAAAGGGUCCGCAGGUGGCUAUGUGCGUCAAUGGUCAAAUCAUCGGGCUCAACCCGGUGGCCGCCGUUGAUACGGCAUAGCUCGAGCAUGGGAGAGGUAAGCGGAAUUGCCGGUGUAGUAGUAAAAUGCGUUCAUAUCGGCAAGAACACCAAAUGCGAAGGCAGCUUACUGGAACAUUGCUGACACUCAGGGACGAAAGCGUGGGGAGCGAAA
rnacentral:rRNA from 1 species